GUGGGGAAUCUUCCGCAAUGGGCGCAAGCCUGACGGAGCAACGCCGCGUGAAUGAAGAAGGCCUUCGGGUCGUAAAGUUCUGUCUUUAGAGAAGAAGUCUCUCUAUGUGAAUAAUGUAGAGAGGUGACGGUACCUAAGGAGGAAGCUCCGGCUAACUACGUGCCAGCAGCCGCGGUAAUACGUAGGGAGCAAGCGUUGUCCGGAAUUACUGGGCGUAAAGGGCGCGUAGGCGGAUAAUUAAGUCAGGUGUGAAAACUCUGGGCUCAACCUGGAGAUUGCACUUGAAACUGGUUAUCUUGAGGGCAGGAGAGGAAAGUGGAAUUCCUAGUGUAGCGGUGAAAUGCGUAGAUAUUAGGAGGAACACCAGUGGCGAAGGCGGCUACCUAGACAGAGACUGACGCUGAUGCACGAAAGCGUGGGGAGCAAAUAGGAUUAGAUACCCCUGUAGUCC
rnacentral:rRNA from 1 species